rnacentral:lncRNA from 1 species
GGGGACCUCAUGGAAAAAUGGAUUCUAUGGGUGAAUACCCACAUACCUUGGUAUUGAAAGUCCAAAAAGAAUGGAGGAUUGAAGACUUGAAUGGAAAUGUAUCUCUUUUUUCUUUUUCCUUAAGUUGAGAGAAUUUGGGGAGGAUGAAUUUGAUUAGAUUUUGGGAAAUUAAGAGAAUGAGGUUAUAAGUGGAUAGUUGUAGGACCCAAAAUUCUUAUAUUGGUUUUAGGAUGAAGGCCAAAGCGACUUAGUUUUGAUUUAAAAUAAUUAGGGAAAAGAUCCAAAAGCCCCUUAAAAUAACUACCGACCCCUCUCUACGGUUCGAACCUUCCUACAGACCUUACUGGUCAACAUAGAAAAGUUCAGAAACUU